rnacentral:lncRNA from 1 species
GCUCCUCCGUAGAGAGAUUGUUCCUGGCUGCUGUACUAAACAAAAAGGACACAGUGUUAGUUAUUUUUGCCAGGUCACCAACAUUAACCUCAAUCCCAGAUGUCUGCAGUCUCUGACACAGUUCAACUGUAUUUACACCUGGGAUCUUAUGGUUCAGAUGUUGAAUUAUCUGCUCACAUAGUUCUGCAAAGAAGUCUUGAGGUAUCAAAUUAAUCUUAUCUGCUGCACCACCAACAUCCAGCGCCUCCAGGGCCCGCGUCAGCAACACCACAGAGCCGGCAGCCAUAGCACCGCGACCUCGACGAGAA